UACGUAGGGUGCAAGCGUUAAUCGGAAUUACUGGGCGUAAAGCGUGCGCAGGCGGUUUUGUAAGACAGAUGUGAAAUCCCCGGGCUUAACCUGGGAACUGCGUUUGAAACUGGAAGGCUUGAGUGUGGCAGAGGGGGGUGGAAUUCCACGUGUAGCAGUGAAAUGCGUAGAGAUGUGGAGGAACACCGAUGGCGAAGGCAGCCCCCUGGGCUAACACUGACGCUCGAUGCACGAAAGCGUGGGGAGCAAACAGG
rnacentral:rRNA from 1 species